UACGAAGGGUGCAAGCGUUACUCGGAAUUACUGGGCGUAAAGCGUGCGUAGGUGGUUUUUUAAGUCCGUUGUGAAAGCCCUGGGCUCAACCUGGGAAUGGCAGUGGAUACUGGAAAGCUAGAGUGCGGUAGAGGGUAGUGGAAUUCCCGGUGUAGCAGUGAAAUGCGUAGAGAUCGGGAGGAACACCAGUGGCGAAGGCGAGUCCCUGGACGACUCCUGACACUGAGGCACGAAAGCUAGGGGAGCAAACAGG
rnacentral:rRNA from 1 species